ensembl:lncRNA
CUGUUGCAUUAUCCUGAGUCACUUCAUUUGCCCCUCAUUAAAUCACAUGACCAACCUUUUGCUAUUGAAUUUCAUUUUGAAAAUCUCAUUAUGUGUAUUUGAUUUCAAGACUUUGCAAGUCAUUCCACUCCAUUUCAAGCCAUUUCAUUAGUUCACUUCCCUGUCAAAACAUGUCCUAAACGUUGAAGAAUCAUUCAGGAUUUUUGUUUCUGUGUUUUGGCGUUUGUUUCAGUUUUCUUUUGUUUUGUUUUGUUUUGUCUUGUAUAUUUUGGAGACAGGAAUCCUUGACUGUCCUGCAGUGUCCUUUGUGGACCAGGUUGACUCAGAUCAGAUCUGCCUGCCCCUGCUUCCCCCAGUGCUGGGGCUAACAGUGUGAGCCACCAUGCCCAACCCCAUGGGAUUUUGUGUCAUUAUUUCCUCUUAUCAUCUAGGCAGUAUUUCAGUUUAUUACAUUUAGUGAUAAUUAAAUUGUAUGUGUACAACUAAUUAAGUUUACUCUAUUUUCAUCAUUUGCAGUCAUUGCCUUACACCAUUUUAUUGCCUUCUGUUGGUUUCCUCUGAUUCCAUUUCGACCCAUUUUGUGAUAUCGAUUGAUCCACCAUAGAUGCUUUUCUGUUUCAGAAUUUCCUUCCUUCUUCUCAUAAUAUAUUUCCUGCCAUUAUGUGGCUACAGAAUCAAUUUGUUCAGCUGCUUUACAUUGUUUUGAUUCAUUUUGUUUUUUCAGUGUUUUACACCGUUCCCUCACACUGCCUUUCAUUCUUUCUCUUAGGCAUCUCAUUCUUCUUCCUUUUAUUUUGUUAUGCUACCACUUUACUUUCUGUGAUUUCAUUAACAAGUAUAACUUCAAUUUAUAUCCUUUAUUAAAUCAUGGCAAUACCCUUUUUGGAAAUGACUAAUCCCUUCGUAUCGGGCACAUUUCAGCAUAUUACUCCUUUUCAUACACUCACUUUAUUUAGAUUCAUUAUUUCUUUCAUCGUAUUUAUUAAAUAUCAUUGUGUCUUCUUCUAUGGCAUGAUUAGAAAAGAAAUAACAACCAAAAAGAAGUGAUAUGACAUGAAAAAAAAUCAAGUAAAUUCUUGAAAAAAUCACACAUACAUUUUAAAAUAGAACAAAAUUACUGCAAGGAAAGAUAGGAAUAAUUAAAAGCAAAAUGUAAAAAUAAAUAUUUAUGAUACAGUAACUUAAAUUAUAUAUGUACAUGACAACUAAAUGAAUAACAGAAUACUAUAUAAAUGAAAGGUGAACUGAAACAAUGAAAUGCCCAGGUGAAAUAAAAGAAUGGAAACAUAAAAUAAAAGAGUUAAAGGAUGAAAUGAAGACAGAUAUUGGAAUGAAAGGAGGUGAAACUGAACUAGAAUGAUGUGAGAAAGGGGG